GCGGUGGAGAGCCCCCCUGAGCAGGACAGCAGCACAGAGGGCAGGCAGCCAAGCCAAGAGGCUGGGAGGGCCGAUCCCUGCUGGUGGCGUCGAGCACCCAGAACCCACAGGACAGACUCCUGCCCGCGGUGCCCUGCUGUCUCGCCUCCUGACCCCCGGGGCUUCCCGGGUGGCCCUGCGUGGCCCUGCGAGCUCCGCCUCAGAGAACUGCAAGUAAUCAACUAUCUUCUCAAUGGCAUCGUCUCUGGGUCCGCUGGCCUUGCUGAACCGCACAUGUUCCCUUGUCACUUUCUCUGUGAAACCUGCCCUCCCAGACCCUUUGCAGACGCUUAGCCUGAACAGAGGAAGAGCAAAGGAAGUGUGCGCCCUGUCACAGCAUCUUCGACAAGAGCCCACUGUGCACCUGAAGCCAGAAGCAUCUUCUCCAGCGGAGGCCGAGCACGUCGCUCCCUGCUCCUGCUCCCCUGCUCCUUAGAAACUGACCCAGGGCCCUUGCUGUGGAACUGAGCUUAGCCUAACGAGGCAGCUCAGAGGCAGGCGCCGGCCAGCCAGCCAGCGCCCAAGCUCACAGAAGAGACGGAGAAAGCCUCAUCAGCAGAGCGUUCCGUCAUCGCAGCUGACUGCUCUCCAGGCCUGAGCUGGGGGAUAUCGAAGUUCGGA